rnacentral:rRNA from 1 species
AGAUUAAGCCAWGCAUGUCUCAGUACAAGCCAAAUUAAGGUGAAACCGCAAAAGGCUCAUUAAAUCAGUUAUGGUUCCUUAGAUCGUACCCACAAUUACUUGGAUAACUGUGGUAAUUCUAGAGCUAAUACAUGCAAACAGAGCUCCGACCGGAGACGGAAGGAGUGCUUUUAUUAGAUCAAAACCGAUCGGUGGCGGGUCCGCUCGUCAUCGUACAAUUUGGUGACUCUGAAUAACUUUAGGCUGAUCGCACGGUCAUCGCACCGGCGACGCAUCUUUCAAAUGUCUGCCUUAUCAACUGUCGAUGGUAGGUUCUGCGCCUACCAUGGUUGUAACGGGUAACGGGGAAUCAGGGUUCGAUUCCGGAGAGGGAGCCUGAGAAACGGCUACCACAUCCAAGGAAGGCAGCAGGCGCGCAAAUUACCCACUCCCGGCACGGGGAGGUAGUGACGAAAAAUAACGAUACGGGACUCAUCCGAGGCCCCGUAAUCGGAAUGAGUACACUCUAAACCCUUUAACGAGGAUCAAUUGGAGGGCAAGUCUGGUGCCAGCAGCCGCGG